CAAUACGUCAGCGGCAGACGGGUGAGUAACACGUGGGAACGUACCUUUUGGUUCGGAACAACUGAGGGAAACUUCAGCUAAUACCGGAUAAGCCCUAACGGGGAAAGAUUUAUCGCCGAAAGAUCGGCCCGCGUCUGAUUAGCUAGUUGGUGAGGUAAUGGCUCACCAAGGCGACGAUCAGUAGCUGGUCUGAGAGGAUGAUCAGCCACACUGGGACUGAGACACGGCCCAG
rnacentral:rRNA from 1 species